rnacentral:rRNA from 1 species
GGCCUAACACAUGCAAGUCGAACGGUAGCACAGAGGAGCUUGCUCCUUGGGUGACGAGUGGCGGACGGGUGAGUAAUGUCUGGGAAACUGCCCGAUGGAGGGGGAUAACUACUGGAAACGGUAGCUAAUACCGCAUAACGUCGCAAGACCAAAGAGGGGGACCUUCGGGCCUCUUGCCAUCGGAUGUGCCCAGAUGGGAUUAGCUAGUAGGUGGGGUAACGGCUCACCUAGGCGACGAUCCCUAGCUGGUCUGAGAGGAUGACCAGCCACACUGGAACUGAGACACGGUCCAGACUCCUACGGGAGGCAGCAGUGGGGAAUAUUGCACAAUGGGCGCAAGCCUGAUGCAGCCAUGCCGCGUGUAUGAAGAAGGCCUUCGGGUUGUAAAGUACUUUCAGCGAGGAGGAAGGCGUUGUGGUUAAUAACCGCAACGAUUGACGUUACUCGCAGAAGAAGCACCGGCUAACUCCGUGCCAGCCGCCGCGGUAAAAGGG